AUUCUGUCUAGUAAUAUCAACAAUAAAUUUUUGCCUUAACAUUGAUUUUAAGCCAUGCAUGUGUAAGUACAAUGUUUUAAACAUGAAACCGCGGAAAGCUCAUUAUAACAGCUAUAGACUACACGGUAAAUAUUUUAGUUGGAUAACUGAGGUAAUUCUUGAGCUAAUACACGCUAUUUAUACCACAUUAGUGGUGCGUUUAUUUGAUUAAACCAUUUAUAUUGGUUGACUCAAAAUAUCCUCGCUGAUUUUGUUACUAAAACAUACCGUAUGUGUAUCUGGUUUAUCAACUUUCGAUGGUAGGGUAUUGGCCUACCAUGGUUGUGACGGAUAACGGAGAAUUAGGGUUCGACUCCGGAGAGGGAGCCUGAGAAACGGCUACCACAUCCAAGGAAGGCAGCAGGCGCGAAAAUUACCCAAUUUUAGUUAAAAGAGGUAGUGACGAAAAAUGACAACCAAAUAUUAUUAUUAAUAUUUGGAUUGAAAAUCUUCAAGUUUAAAUAACUUGUUGGUAAAGGAAAGGGCAAGUCUGGUGCCAGCAGCCGCGGUAAUACCAGCUUUCCAAGUGCAUAAAAUGAUUGUUGUGGUUAAAAAGCUCGUAGUUGGAUUAUAAAGAUUGUAUAAUGAGCAUCUUGGAUGUUAUUAAUCAUUAUCAUCUUAUAUUUUUAUUAUAUUAGAAAUAAUAUAAUAACUGUUACUUUGAAUAAAUCAGAGGGUUUAAACCAGACAUUAUAUGUUUGUAUGGUCUAGCAUGGAAUAACACUAUAGAAAAAUUUAGUGUGGUUUCACUUAAUUUUUCAUGAUUAAUAGGAACAAACGGGGGCAUUCGUAUCGCUACGUUAGAGGUGAAAUUCUUGGACCGUAGCGAGACGUCCUACUGCGAAAGCAUUUGCCAAGAAUGUUUUCAUUAAUCAAGAACGAAAGUUAGAGGUUCGAAGGCGAUCAGAUACCGCCCUAGUUCUAACCGUAAACUAUGCCUACUAGAUGUAUGAAUUAUUAGUUAUAAUAAUUUAUGCAUCUUCUCGGAAACGAAAGUCUUUCGGUUCCGGGGGAAGUAUGGUUGCAAAGCUGAAACUUAAAGGAAUUGACGGAAGGGCACCACCAGGAGUGGAGCCUGCGGCUUAAUUUGACUCAACACGGGAAAACUCACCCGGGCCGGACACUAUAAGGAUUGACAGAUUGAUAGCUCUUUCAUGAUUUAGUGGUUGGUGGUGCAUGGCCGUUCUUAGUUCGUGGAUAUGAUUUGUCUGGUUGAUUCCGAUAACGAGCGAGACUUUUAUGUUAUAUUAAAUAUUAUUAUUUGUUUAUUUUAUAUAAAUAAUUAAUAUUUUAAUAACAGAUUAAUAGUGUUUAACUAUUUGAGAGAGAGCGAUAACAGGUCUGUGAUGCCCUUAGAUGUCCGGGGCUGCACGCGCGCUACAAUGUAGUGAUCAUUAUGUUCCUGUUUAGAGAUAAAUGGGUAAACAUUGAAAACAUUACGUAACUGGGAGUGAAACUUGCAAUUAUGUUUCAUGAACGAGGAAUUCCAAGUAAACGUAAGUCAUUAGCUUACAUUGAUUACGUCCCUGCCCUUUGUACACACCGCCCGUCGCUGCCCGGAACUGAGCAAUAUCGAGAGGCAGGAAGAGAUGUAAUAAAUUUUUAAUUUUUUUUAUAUUAAAUCCUUCCAAUCGCUGUUGUUUGAACCGGGCAAAAGUCGUAACAAGGUUUUCGUAGGUGAACCUGCGAAAGGAUCAUUAU
rnacentral:rRNA from 1 species